UACGGAGGGUGCGAGCGUUAUCCGGAUUCACUGGGUUUAAAGGGUGCGUAGGCGGGCAAGUAAGUCCGUGGUGAAAUCUCUGAGCUUAACUCAGAAACUGCCGUGGAUACUAUUUGUCUUGAAUGUUGUGGAGGUAAGCGGAAUAUGUCAUGUAGCGGUGAAAUGCUUAGAUAUGACAUAGAACACCAAUUGCGAAGGCAGCUUACUACACAAAUAUUGACGCUGAGGCACGAAAGCGUGGGGAUCAAACAGG
rnacentral:rRNA from 1 species